rnacentral:piRNA from 1 species
UAAAAAAUAAAAGCAGCCUAUCGAAACCCUA